AAUUUAUGGGGAGGGAAAACGAACGCCAAACCAAGAGUAGUCCGCGUAAAUCAGUAGGAUUUAGGGUUUAGAGGUACAGAAGAUGAAGAAGGGUUGUCUUUUACCCAUUACAUGCAAUGGCUGGCUGAGCCAGAACCAAUCAGCCGAUUUUAUUUAGCUAAUGGGGUUUUCCAGAGGUCACAAUUUUCACAUGCGACAAACAGGUUCGUUUUUCCUAAUCUGAUUCAUUGAACACUGUCAUGAAUCUUUUUUGAGCCUGUUCCAUAACUGGUGAAUCCACGUAAUAGAUUUAUUUGCCUGUAUACUUUUGUUCUUAACUAUAUACGCAAAGUAUUGAUAUAUGCAAUCUACCUUUUCUCUUCCUGUUUCACUAGCACAGAAAUUAUGAUUUUCAAAGAUAAGAUUAAGACUGUAUGAUAAUUUAUGUUGAAUGGAGAAUUGGAGAUAGUGCAAACAGGAAUAUUUGAUGAUUUAACUUGUAUGGUGGGAAAUCAGAGCAGGAGCAAUCUAUUAUGAUUAUAAGGAUUAAUGAAGAAUUUAUUAGGGAAAAUUAACUUUAAUUGACUAAGUCUAAGCAGUUCAACUGAAGACCUUGUAUUAUGUCGUGGUUAGUAUAAUGUCCGGAAAAUUUUAGCACGGACGUUUUUGUAUUGUAGUGAUUUAUCACCAAGUAGUUGGGAUCGUUUGGCAAACAAAUUAAUUUGAUCAAUCUGCAUANNNNNNNNNNNNNNNNNNNNNNNNNNNNNNNNNNNNNNNNNNNNNNNNNNNNNNNNNNNNNNNNNNNNNNNNNNNNNNNNNNNNNNNNNNNNNNNNNNNNAUAUUUAUUCUUUUAUUUCAAAACCCUCAAUGUUCACAAUUACUACCUCCGUUCCUAAAAGAUUGUCGUUUAAGGUUUUGUCACAUGGAUUAAGAAAGUAUCAUUUACCAAGUAAAAUUUAUUUAAAAUUCCAUCACUAUCCCUUUAUGGGAAGUUGAAAACUAUUAAUACAAGGGAGAAAAUUUCUUGGGACAAUGAGAGAAUGUAGGGGUAAUAUAGAAAAGUAAAUAAUUUAUUCUCCUCGAAAGUUGUAAACGACAAACUUUUUGGAACAAAUUUUUUCUUCUAAAACGAUAAUCUUUUAGGAACGGAGGGAGUAACAUGGUUACAAUUAUUUAUAAAAUUUCAUAUAUGCAAUUAUUUACAUGGUUACAAGGGAAUGGUUAGAGGUAGAUUACAUUGAACAGAUAUUUUAGGCAGAGGAAUUUGUUUUUCGCAUAACUCCCCGAGUCAUUCAAAAACUUUGGAGUUUAAUUAAAUGGUCAAAAUUUAUGGCAGGAUAUAUUAUGCUGCUGUUAAAUCAAUUAUCAAAAUUGGUGCUUAUAUUGUAAGAUAUUGCAUAAGUCAAUUAUAUUUCAUACGCGUCGGAAGAGAAAUAUUGAAAUCCUGUAGGACAAAACUGCAAGCACAAUGAACUUGGUCCUUUUGACAAUUGUAUUGUGAAAAAUUGUUGGCUCUCACCAGUGUUUCUCUUGGUAGCAUGCACUUUCAUUUUAUAUAUAAACAGUACAAUACAUAGUUUACUUGAGCCAAGCUAAAAGCUUCAUUAAGUUUUUAUUUAGUUCAAAAACAUUGCGAGUAACGCACCCUCUCAAACACACAAGCAAACACUAGAGAAAAAGAAAAGAAAAAGAAAUGAAAGUAUGUCAUUCCACCUAUAUUAAAAUAAAGGUUUAAAUAUGAAUUAGUACCCUAAACUAUAGGUCAUAUUCCAAUUCGGUGAUCCGCCUUUCAAUUUUGUCAAUUAGAUGAUUAAACUAUCAAUUUUUUUCAAUUGCAACAAAUUGAACAUGCCACGUCAGAAAUUGCUGACGUGGCUAAUUGUGUGGGGCCUUAAGAAGCCGAUGUGGCAAAAAAAACAAUUUUUUAAUCAUUAAAUAAACAAAUCUGAUUAAAUGUGGGGCAAAAUGGUCAAAACACAAUUUAACAUUUCAAACUAAAAUAAAAUAAACAUUAAAAAUCAAAAUAAUUUUAUUUAUUUUUAAUUAUUAUAUCAAAACCUAUAUAGACAAUCGAAGAGGGUAGCCGAAAACGUAGAGAAACUUGGCAACGAUGGGGCUGAAAAAUGGUGCAAAAUGGUGAGCACAGGCGAAGAGGGUAGCCGCAUACAACAACCAUACCGCGUAUUUGUAUUUGUUUGGUGUUUUUUCAUGUCGAUGCGACAACAACCAUUGAUACGCCGAGGAGCAGCAGACAGUCCCAAAGAAACAGAAGCAGAAGUAGAUGAACAAGUUAAAAGCUACGGCGGAAUAGCCGUGAUCUCGAGCGUCUAACCGGCAGAUUCUGGUAACACAAAAGGAAGCCAUCAACAUAUGGGCAUACGCCGGCGGAAUUUUGGCAAUCACCUGUGAUAUUGCUGCGGCAGUACCACCCAUUUUUAUUUAUUUAUUGUACGAGUUUUGGUUACAACACAGGGUUGUUUUAUAGUUGGUAUUCGGAAACUUCCCAGAAAUUUACUAAUCAUUUCUGGGACUGAAAUGGGUCCGUGUUUACUAAUGGAGGAGAGAGAGAGGAGGGGGGUUUGGGGAUUUUUGAUGUGAGGCUGAUUUUGAAGGGGAAAAAUGGGGGUUCAGUAGUUUUGGAGUUGAAUUAUGAGGUUUUGAGUGCUAACAGUUUUUGCGGAUUUGAUCGCGAAUUAUCGGACGAGUUCUAGUGGUUCUGUUGCUAAUUUUUGUAGGAUUGCUAAUUCUGAGGUUGGUGUUUGUUUUAUUUUAAUUUGAAAUGUUAAAUUGUGUUUUGACUAUUUUGCCCCACAUUUAAUCAGAUUUGUUUAUUUAAUAAUUAAAAAAUUAUUUUUUUUGCCACAUCAGCUUCUUAAGUCUCCACACAAUUAGCCACGCCAGCAAUUUCUGACAUGACAUGUUCAAUUUGUUGCAAUUGAAAAAAAUUGAUAGUUUAAUAAUCUGAUUGACAAAAUUGAAAGGUGGAUCACCGAAGUGGAAUAUGGCCUAUAGUUUAGGGUACUAAUUCAUAUUUAAGCCUAAAAUAAACCGCAUAGGUGGUCUGAAAGCCUCAUUGAAAUGUUAUCUCAGAGAGUAUUUCCAACUUCAUAAUGACAUAUUGACAUUUAAUUAUUUGUACGCCAUUAAUUCAGUACUUCAUUGAAUAAGUCAGUAAAGACUAAUGACCCUGCUUGUAAAAAUGAAAUUUCACAUUAAUGAUUGCAUUUGUUUCAAUUAUUUUGAGUGUUUGCAAUUGGCUAAGAAACUGAACUAUCGAAUAGGUGACUAGCUUAUAGCAUUUGUGAUGGCAGUAAUGCUUAUUAAGUGUUGAUGUAGUUCACCUUAGCUAACUUCAAACAUGGUAUAACAAUAUUGACUUUGUGGUGGAAAUUAGUUAUAGAAAGCUUCUAUGGUCAGGUUUUGAAUUGGCUUCUUCCUAAAAUUUGUUAGUUGCCAAAAAUUUAGGAGAAGGUAUGUUAAAUGAGGUAGUGAUCUGUCAUACUCAUUCUAUCUCAAUUAAGGCUAAGCCUAAGGGUUUUAGAGAGGGAAAAUCGGAAAUUUAGUUAAACAUUCUUGAAUAGAAACCACAGAUAAGACUCAAUUAACAUUACUUGGCCUAGACUAUGACCCGUGAUUCUAACUAUGGACUGGUUCAGGCAAACUAGAAAAUUUCGAAAGGAUUAGCUCCUAAAUUUGAUAUAAUUUAUUAAGACCAUACUGAUUGUUUACUAGCCUAAAAUAUAAAUAUACCUCAAGACAAGAUUCAAAAGUAAAUUAAAUUGUGCUAUGUUAAGUAUGCUCAGGCAAUUUCCCACUUUACCCUCAUUUUAAUUUACUUUUUGAUUUUUAUUCUUUUAUGCAUUGCAUCAGGUGCAAUAUUUAUGUGGUUGGCAGUGCAGCUGUGCUGAAAUACAGUUACCGUUGGUAAUUCUAGUUAUAAGAUACCGCAGUAGUGCAAGUGGUUAAGUUACCGUUAUGGGCCUUUGGUGACAACAAUUCUACUAUUAAAAGGUUGGCAAAUGAUGUGGGUAAUGGUGCCUCUAAUCCGCCCUCAGUUAAGAAUUGUAACGGCUGAUGGCAUGUGAAGGUUAUGAUGGCGUACUUUACACAAAAUUGGUGUCAAUUCAUGUGGGUUUGCAUGGACGUGGUAUAUCUGUCUAGUUCUCGAUAUUACAACACAAGAUAUAGCAAUCAUUCAAGCGAUACUGUCUUCAAGAUGACCUGAAACAUCCUCAUUCAUUAUUAUUAAUGUUUAUAACUUGUACUGAAGUCUAUCCAUGCAUAAGUGGUUACUUGUUAGGGCAUAUCUAAUUUUUUUUUAAUUUAAAUUAUUUCCAGUUCUUCAUAGUCUUCUUUAUGGUAUAUUUGUGCUUUUUCUUUUUAUUUUUUUUGUUUCUAUGCAAAUAUUAACAAAUAUCUGAAACUCACAGCUUCAUCAUGAUCAAUGAGAGGACAAGUUUUGUUAUCGAGAUUACCUUGACUGAUAACUAGCAAUGCAAGAUUGUCAUAGUUAUUUCAGUUAGUUGACAUUUAAGUGAGAUUACGGAAUCAACUUAAAAAAAAAGACGGAUAAUAAUAUAUUCUUCAGCAUUUUGUGAUCAGUGGUGGUCUGGCACCUGCAACAUUUGCAAAGGAAUCCACCUUUGAAAUUUAAUUUCUUUCUAUACAAAUCCUUAGUAAUCUAUAUUGUUUGUUUCUAUUUUUCAGAAAAUAAUAAUAUAUUUUAUACAGUUCCUUCCGGAAAUUUUUCUAGUUCUUACUUUUAUUUUCCAUGCAGAGUUGAUGGCAUGUUUGCCCUGCAAUCCCCAACAACUCUAUGAUGAUGAGGUAUGGCCCGGAAAUUCUUU
rnacentral:lncRNA from 1 species